rnacentral:rRNA from 2 species
UGGGGAAUAUUGCACAAUGGAGGGAACUCUGAUGCAGCGACGCCGCGUGAACGAAGAAGGCUUUCGAGUCGUAAAGUUCUUUUAUAUGGGAAGAUAAUGACGGUACCAUAAGAAAAAGCCCUGGCUAACUACGUGCCAGCAGCCGCGGUAAUACGUAGGGGGCUAGCGUUGUCCGGAAUCACUGGGCGUAAAGGGUUCGCAGGCGGAAAUGCAAGUCAGGUGUAAAAGGCAGUAGCUUAACUACUGUAAGCAUUUGAAACUGCAUAUCUUGAGAAGAGUAGAGGUAAGUGGAAUUUUUAGUGUAGCGGUGAAAUGCGUAGAUAUUAAAAAGAAUACCGGUGGCGAAGGCGACUUACUGGGCUCAUUCUGACGCUGAGGAACGAAAGCGUGGGUAGCAAACAGG